CCGCCCCGUCGGCCGCGGCGGCCUGACCGUCGGCCGGCUGGGGCUGGGCACGGCGCCGAUCGGCGGGCUGUUCGAGGCGGUCGGGGAGGACCA
rnacentral:tRNA from 1 species